AAAGGAAUUGACGGGGGCCCGCACAAGCGGCGGAGCAUGCGGAUUAAUUCGAUGCAACGCGAAGAACCUUACCUGGGCUUGACAUGUUCCGGACGACCUCAGAGAUGGGGUUUCCCUUCGGGGCCGGUUCACAGGUGGUGCAUGGUCGUCGUCAGCUCGUGUCGUGAGAUGUUGGGUUAAGUCCCGCAACGAGCGCAACCCUUGCCUUGUGUUGCCAGCGCGUCAUGGCGGGAACUCGCAAGGGACCGCCGGGGUUAACUCGGAGGAAGGUGGGGAUGACGUCAGAUCAUCAUGCCCCUUACGUCCAGGGCUUCACGCAUGCUACAAUGGCCGGUACAACGGGAUGCGACGCCGCGAGGCGGAGCGGAUCCCUGAAAACCGGUCUCAGUUCGGAUCGCAGUCUGCAACUCGACUGCGUGAAGGCGGAGUCGCUAGUAAUCGCGAAUCAGCAACGUCGCGGUGAAUGCGUUCCCGGGCCUUGUACACACCGCCCGU
rnacentral:rRNA from 1 species